GGAAAAUUAAAACGCAAAAAA
rnacentral:piRNA from 1 species